AUUGAACGCUGGCGGCAUGCUUUACACAUGCGAGUCGAACGGCAGCGCGGGGCAACCUGGCGGCGAGUGGCGAACGGGUGAGUAAUACAUCGGAACGUACCCAGAAGUGGGGGAUAACGUAGCGAAAGUUACGCUAAUACCGCAUACGUUCUACGGAAGAAAGUGGGGGACCUUCGGGCCUCAUGCUUUUGGAGCGGCCGAUGUCUGAUUAGCUAGUUGGUGAGGUAAAGGCUCACCAAGGCGACGAUCAGUAGCUGGUCUGAGAGGACGACCAGCCACACUGGGACUGAGACACGGCCCAGACUCCUACGGGAGGCAGCAGUGGGGAAUUUUGGACAAUGGGCGCAAGCCUGAUCCAGCAAUGCCGCGUGAGUGAAGAAGGCCUUCGGGUUGUAAAGCUCUUUUGUCAGGGAAGAAACGGCUGAGGAUAAUACCUUCGGCUAAUGACGGUACCUGAAGAAUAAGCACCGGCUAACUACGUG
rnacentral:rRNA from 1 species